GCGAUCUUAGUUUAAUUUAAAAUAGUAGUUUGUCUCAUUACUGAUGGCUUUGGCUAGGUCGCU
rnacentral:tRNA from 1 species